UCUAGCAUGUUGGCGAGUCAAUGGGCUUACUAAACCCAAAGGCGAAAUGAAAGUGAAGGAACGAGUCUGACUUGUUCUGAGGGGUGAUGGUCGUGCUUCCAUGCCGGCCCGCAACCCCGGGGCAUCAAUCCCUCUUUGAGGGGUGAUGUACCUUGAGCCUACAUGUUGGUACCCGAAAGAUGGUGAACUAUGCCUGGCCAGGGCGAAGCCAGGGGAAACCCUGGUGGAGGCCCGCAGCAAUUCUGACGUGCAAAUCGAUUGUCAGAGCUGGGUAUAGGGGCGAAAGACUAAUCGAACCAUC
rnacentral:rRNA from 1 species